GAUGAACGCUGGCGGCGUGCCUAAUACAUGCAAGUCGAACGCAUCACUUCGGUGAUGAGUGGCGAACGGGUGAGUAAUACAUAAGUAACCUAGCCUCUGGAGGGGGAUAACUAUUGGAAACGAUAGCUAAGACCGCAUAGGCAUAGGCAUCGCAUGAUGAAUAUGUUAAAUAUCCCACGGGAUAGCGAGAGGAUGGACGUAUGGCGCAUUAGCUGGUUGGUGAGGUAGAGGCUCACCAAGGCGACGAUGCGUAGCCGACCUGAGAGGGUGGACGGCCACACUGGGACUGAGACACGGCCCAGACUCCUACGGGAGGCAGCAGUAGGGAAUUUUCGGCAAUGGGCGAAAGCCUGACCGAGCAACGCCGCGUGAGGGAGGAAGUACUUCGGUAUGUAAACCUCUGUUAUAAAGGAAGAACGGCAUAUGUAGGGAAUGACAUAUGAGUGACGGUACUUUAUGAGGAAGCCACGGCUAACUACGUGCCAGCCGCCGCCGUAUAC
rnacentral:rRNA from 1 species